GACGAACGCUGGCGGCGUGCCUAAUACAUGCAAGUCGACCUUAGUGGCGGACGGGUGAGUAACACGUGGGAACCUACCCAUCAGAGGGGGAUAACUACUCGAAAGAGUGGCUAAUACCGCAUACUAUUGGAGCGGCCGCUAGCGGAUUCGCUAGUGGGUGGGGUAAAGGCUCACCAAGGCAACGAUCCGUAGCUGGUUUGAGAGGACGACCAGCCACACUGGGACGGAGACAAGGUCCAGACUCCUACGGGAGGCAGCAGUGGGGAAUUUUGGGCAAUGGGCGAAAGCCUGAUCCAGCCAUGCCGCGUGUGUGAAGAAGGUCUUCGGAUUGUAAAGCACUUUAAGUUGGGAGGCGUUACCAACAGAAUAAGCACCGGCUAACUUCGUGCCAGCAGCCGCGGUAAUAC
rnacentral:rRNA from 1 species